CAGUCGCCGCGGGAAUACGAGGGGAGCUAGCGUUGUUCGGAAUUACCGGGCGUAAAGCGCGCGUAGGCGGCUUUUUAAGUCAGAGGUGAAAGCCCGGGGCUCAACCCCGGAAUUGCCUUUGAAACUGGAAAGCUAGAAUCUUGGAGAGGUCAGUGGAAUUCCGAGUGUAGAGGUGAAACUCGUAGAUAUUGGGAAGAACACCGGUGGCGAAGGCGGCGACCUGGUCCUUUACUGACGCUGAGGCGCGAAAGCGUGGGAAGCAAACAGGAUUAGAUACCCCUGUAGUCCCUGUCUCUUAUAC
rnacentral:rRNA from 1 species